GGUUGAGCUUAGAGUUUUUCAUGUAAUCAGGUUCUUAAUCACAUAAACGAACAGAAUUAGGGAGAAAGAAAAGGAAAGAAGAAUAGGAGAAGACGUCGGAGAGAGAAAUAGUGCUUAAUAGAAGAGAAUAGAGAGAAUUAGAUUGAAGAAUUUACUGCAGUCUUAAUAUUUUCUGACCCUGCUGUUAUUUAUACAGCUAUCUCUUCUUUAACUGUUCCCUCUAUAUUCAUUUCCCAACAACUUCAGUUAUACAGCUGCAACUGUUCAACAGAUUUACAACUACUUAAGAACUUCAGUUUACGCCUAACAGCACUGCUCCUAUAUGACCACCUUCCACGAGUGCAUUCUUGUCCUCAAGAAUGCUCAAAUGCAGAACUUUGGCUGAAUAAAGGUCUGCCUUCUCAAGUGGCCCUCAGCUGGUAAGUUGGUAAAUUGAAUGAGACCUUGGUAAACUUGCUGUUGACAUCUUUUGCAGCCUCUGUUACAGCACCGUGGAGAGUCUCAUGGUUAACCAACAGCUGCAGCUAGAGCCAGAUUUUUUUCUUUUGCCAUCUUCUCAUUUUGAACUCAUUCUUUUUGAGUACUAAAUGACUGCAGUAUCUCAAAGAACAGAUUUUCUUCCUCUGUUGUCUCCUAAUUUUAAACUCAUUCUCUGAGUUGAUUACUUUAUCUCAGCUCAAAAAAACUUCCACCAAAACCAGAGUAUCUCUGGGAAUAGAAGCUAUACGAACCCUGUCAGUACCCUGCUGGAACCUAGCCUCCCAACUCCAGUCUGAUUAACAUUGACCUAAAAAAAAGUUGAGAAUCAUCUGUAUAUUUCAGCACUCUAUCUUUGAGAAAGAUAACUUGGAUAUUUUAGCUUCUUGAAGCAUUUUCAUAGGAAUUACAACUCAAUUGGUAGAUUCAUCCACUGUUUCAGGAUCCAAUAUUUCCUCGCAUGCAGAAUCAAUUCUCAAUUGUCCAAGAACUUUCUCGUCAGUGACUUGCUGCCUAUUGUCGACCCCCUUUAUUUCCCCUCCUUGUACAAGACAAUUUGAAUGCAUCUCAUUAGUAAAGGCUGCAACAGUUUCCAUUUCUUUGCAUUUUAUGUAAAAACCCCCCUGGAAUUUGGGAUUUCAACUCCAAUUCUUGAGAUUGAUUUUUGGGUUGUGCCUCUUGAGAAAAAUUUUUUCAGCUCUUCCAUUUUCUCUUCAAACAUCUUAUCACAUGCACAUUUCUGAUACAAUUCUUCUUUGCAUUCCUUUAGUCUUCUGUCAAUAAUUGCCAACAUUCCCUUAAUAAUUUUUUGGUCCCAAAAUUGUACUUCCAUGGUCUGAAGGUAGAAGGCCAGGAUAUGUGGAUUAUGACAAAAACAUAAGAUCUAAAGAAAGAAAUACAGAGAGGUUUAGAAAGAGAGGGGAUAGAGUAAAAAGAGAGGAAAAUUUGGAGGAAAGGAUCAGAUAUAUCAUGAAUUUCAAGAAACAGAUAUUUUGAUGCAGGAAAUGAGAAAUUAAAGAAGAGAAUAGAAAGAACCGGAUCAACAGAAGAAAGAAAUUGAUUCAAGACUUCAGAAAGAAAGAAGAAGAAAUAGGGUCUGCAGAAAAGAAAACAAGGAAUAGAGAGAAGGAAAGAAAUCUGAGGGAAGCCAAAAAAAAAAAUGGAGUAAACGAAGAGAGAAAUUUAGGAAAAUAGAAAGAAACCUGAUUCUGGACAUGGAUGCAACUAAGAUGAACUAUUUUGCAGCUCAAGCCCACUUGGAAACAAGCUCUGAUACUACAUGUAACCAGGUUCUUAAUCACAGAAAAGAAUAAGAAUUAGGCGGAAGGGAAAUAAGGGGAAGGAGGAAUAGCACGAGAAGAAAAAAUAGAGAAGAGAAUUGAGAGAUUUAGAGAGGAGAAUUGACUUUAGUCUUGAUAUGUCUUAGAAUGAGUCUUAUGUUAUAUUUGUUGUUAUUUAUACAGCUAUAUCUCAUUUAUUCUUAAUUGUUCCCACCAUAUUCACUCCCUAACAACUUAUAGUUAUUCCGCCAAAACAGCUACAACUGUUCAAAGAAUUACAACUACUCAAAACUUCAGUUUACCCCUAACAGUCCCUGCUACUUU
rnacentral:lncRNA from 1 species